AAGGCGCUUUUGCGUCACUGAUGGAUGGACCCGCGGUGCAUUAGCUAGUUGGUGAGGUAACGGCUCACCAAGGCCACGAUGCAUAGCCGACCUGAGAGGGUGAUCGGCCACACUGGGACUGAGACACGGCCCAGACUCCUACGGGAGGCAGCAGUAGGGAAUCUUCGGCAAUGGACGAAAGUCUGACCGAGCAACGCCGCGUGAGUGAAGAAGGUUUUCGGAUCGUAAAACUCUGUUGUUAGAGAAGAACAAGGAUGAGAGUAGAACGUUCAUCCCUUGACGGUAUCUAACCAGAAAGCCACGGCUAACUACGUGCCAGCAGCCGCGGUAAUACGUAGGUGGCAAGCGUUGUCCGGAUUUAUUGGGCGUAAAGCGAGCGCAGGCGGUUUCUUAAGUCUGAUGUGAAAGCCCCCGGCUCAACCGGGGAGGGUCAUUGGAAACUGGGAGACUUGAGUGCAGAAGAGGAGAGUGGAAUUCCAUGUGUAGCGGUGAAAUGCGUAGAUAUAUGGAGGAACACCAGUGGCGAAGGCGGCUCUCUGGUCUGUAACUGACGCUGAGGCUCGAAAGCGUGGGGAGCGAACAGGAUUAGAUACCCUGGUAGUCCACGCCGUAAACGAUGAGUGCUAAGUGUUGGAGGGUUUCCGCCCUUCA
rnacentral:rRNA from 1 species